AAAGAAAGCGUNAUAGCUCACUGGUCGAGUCGGCCUGCGCGGAAGAUGUAACGGGGCUAAACCAUGCACCGAAGCUGCGGCAGCGACGCUUAUGCGUUGUUGGGUAGGGGAGCGUUCUGUAAGCCUGUGAAGGUGUACUGUGAGGUAUGCUGGAGGUAUCAGAAGUGCGAAUGCUGACAUAAGUAACGAUAAAGCGGGUGAAAAGCCCGCUCGCCGGAAGAC
rnacentral:rRNA from 1 species